rnacentral:lncRNA from 1 species
CUCAUCCACCAUCUCUCACAAGCUCAAGCAUUUGCUCUCUCUCCCUUCGUUUUCCUUUACAUUUGCAGCCUCGCAUUUCGAAUUCUCCUUCACAUUUCGCCUUCUGUUGUCGAGAUAGUGAGGACUAUCAAUCUCGAGUCGUUCGGUGCAUUUGGGCAUCACUUAGCUUGUGCCUUUUCCCCAAUGGAAAGAAUCAACAGAAUGGUGCUGGAGAGGCCGGUGGUGAUCUUCAGCCGGAGCUCCUGCUGCAUGUGCCACACCAUCAAGAUGCUUUUCCGCGAGUUCGGUGUCAACCCGGUGGUUCACGAGCUGGACGAGAUCCCCAGGGGGCGGGAGAUAGAGCAGGCCCUCUCCAGGCUGGGCCGCAGCCCUGCCGUGCCGGCUGUGUUCAUCGGCGGCGAGCUGGUGGGGGGGACCAACGAGGUCAUGAGUCUCCAUCUCAACCGGUCCCUGAUCCCAAGGCUGAUACAGGCCGGAGCCAUGUGGGUCUGAUCAACUUAACCACCUGCCGCCCGCAGGCUAUCAAUAAGUGCAAUUUCGAGCCACACGAGUUUUGAGGACCACUAGUUGUUCUACUAGCUGGUUUCGCGACCCUUUUUAUCUUCGCUAUGUACUAACUUCCAUAUGAUCUUAUGAUCUUAUCCUAAUUAAAUCACCUGUGAGCUUAUGGUUUGCUGUAACGAGUUCUCUUUAGCCAAUAAAAUCGAGUUUAAAGUUACUUUAUGGAUGACUAUAUAAGUCUCCCUAGCGAGAUGAUGUAAUGUGUAUUCGUGGCCAAAAUGAAAGUAUCUAUAAAGAGAUAUGUUUGCAUUUGGCGUGUCCAAUGAAGAAAGUCCACAUCGAUGGAAGACGAGAGCCGUCCCAAUUCAUAAAUAGGCGUGAAAAGAAUCGGUGCUGUCGAGUCGAGUCGCGUUGCUCCUCGCCCCUCUGUCUGUAACCCAACCGAACUCUAGCUACCUCGAUAACAUUGGUGGGUUUUCCAAUGGCAUCAAACGCUGACUCGUGCUUGGAUACGGAGAGGAGGACGUUGCAGCGGCGGCGGCGGCGAUGGCUUUUGUGGUAGGGGCAGUGCGGCUGGAACAGCGGCUUCGAUAUCGACUGUGGUGACUGGUAAAGUCACAGGGGCGACCAUGGAUAUGAGAGAGAAAGGGGAGGAUGUAUUGGGUUACGAUUCUGGUUUAGGGUUUAUUUGGUUUGUCUAGGAGCAUCUGCUCGGCUGCAGCAUCACCUCACCGAGCGACCUCCUUAAUAUUUUGCGGUACAUAAAUUGGAUUAUGCCUAAUGAUUGAAUCGUGGAACCAAAGUACAAUGAAAAAAAAGGUAUCGUCGUUCCGUGCCAUUUUGACCUUGCCAAUUUUGGAUUGACAUUGUUAUCGAGUGCUCUAGCAAAACCAUUAGUGCCGAUGGUCCCGGCCUGAAAACCAUUUCACUCGUGCCAUCCUCGUUCGCAGGCAGUACAUCAGCCGGCUCGAGCAAGCCAUAUUCCGAUGCCGGGGGAAUGCAAGGAUAAGUUCCUUCGCUGAGUGUUCUGUUCGUAAGCAAGCAAUAGAUUCGGAUUGUUUGUCAACAAACGUUUUGUCUACUCGACCGUACUGAUGAACAACAAAACUGCAGGAGUAGUGUACAAGAUUAGGACAGCUCAAGAUAAAAAAGAAAAGGUCUUGAAUAAAGUUAAAACCCCCUAAAAGAAGCUUUGUCUAAGCCGUUCAUCCUGAAUUCGAAGUGGCGCCACUUCAAAAACACAAGCAAAACGAGAACGAACCCUUGUUUAAAACGAGAAAAAUCCAUGUGUUUAAAGAAAAUGACCCCUACACGACUUGGACUCGUGCACGAUCUGAGCGAUCGAGGGACCGACUCGUCUUGAUCAAAGACUGAUCACGGCACUUAUCCAUCGUUAUGCCAUUAUACUCACCGGGUCUAUUCAAUGAGAAAUGUCUCAAUCGUCCAAAUAUUAUACAUACUUUCAUCAGAGAAAGAUAUCAAUAGAAUUGCGACAUCCCCGUCCUCAUGUAUUGAUCUUACUUAGUGGUGUUUAACCUAACAUUUCCUUCAAAACUCGUGUUUACUUAGAGCACUCACAAGGAUCCAAUCUAGUCCCAUCAAAAUGGGUCCGAGGCUCACCAUGUGAGUUAGUUAUAUUCAAUUAAUGGAUCAUAAAUAAGUUUGGAAUGGCAACACCUAAAAUAAAAAUGGGUGUGGAAUGAGUUCAUAAUUUAUCAGACCCAACCCAUUUUUAUAACUCCUUUUCACUCUUCCUUGAUCUCGUGCUCACUCAUUUAGUGCUUUCACCCGAGUUUGCAUACAAUUUUUCCUAAAUUGUGCUAAAUAUAUAAGUGUUUUAGUAAUAUGAAUCAAGUCAAGUAUGUAUCAUUAGAUUUGUAUUUAUUGACACCCAACAUUGAUCGUGUCAUCAUGUGCUAGUGACAAGGGAAAAUGUAAUAAAAACAGGUUGCAAUCACGUACAUAUCAUGCGAGUAGUAAUUGAUAUAUGCGAUGAGCACAAGGAUAACUACCUAAUGAUUGAUGACAAUAUAAGAAGAUGCCACAUGUUCACUUGUUAAAACUAUAACAACGGACGGACAGUUGAUGGUCAUCCAAAUAGAUUCUAGUGGCAAUUUUAUCAAUUAGAACACUUUAGACAUUACCUAAGACGCUGAGAUAGUAGCUACUAAAGGUGUGCAUUAUGAAAGAGCAAUUGCUAAUUGAAGACCCAACCAUGGAAAAGUCAUCGAUAGCCAUUUAACCCCCAUAGCAUGAUCGAGAUGGUUAUAUGAGAAAAGUGAGUUGCAAGAAAAAAGUAGCAUGGACAAAGCCAAAAGUGGUUACUAAAGGAUACACAACAGCCAAGUGGUUACUAAAAUACCACCAAUCAUUUGGCAAAAAACCUCUUGACAAAUUAAUCAAAAUAUUAUUAUUUUAUAUUUAUAUUUUCUAGUAUGAAUUUCUUUAGUUGUAGAAUUCAAAUUUCCAUAGUCGAUUAGGUUCCAACGUGUGUCUAUAUUAUUGUGCAUAAUUGUUGAUUAAAUUUCAAUAUUGUAUCUUACUAUCCUAGUGCAUUGUCAUUGAUUAAAUUCCAAUGUUGUAUCUCAUUAUCUUGAUACAUUGUCGUUGAUUAAAUUCUGGUAUUGUGUUCUACCAUCCUCUAUUUGUGUCAUUGAUUGAAUUCCGGUAUAGUUUUUGUCCAAUUUCGUAACUUGUGAGCUUGUUGUUAAUAAAUUCCAACUUAGCCCAAUAUUGUACAGUAUCGUUUGCGUCAAAGAACUUAAAUUUAAUGUUGCAUAAGAUAACCUCUGUCCGAAGUCAGUACAUGAUUCUUGUCCCCUUCAAAAACCAAUAAGCAACUAUUGGUGAAAGAUAUUUUAUUACAGGAGUAAAUCCGACGAAAUAGUAUUCCAUGAAAAUUUGUCAAUUUGAAUCGAACUAUUUUUUACGUGAUACACUAGUCCAUCCAAUCCAAUUCAAUCAAAAUCACAACUAGAAAGCAAAACCAAAGCACAUAUUCAAGAACGGAAGUAAAAGAAGAUAAAAUUGGGGACCUCAUGACAUCUAUCUCCUUUUUCAAUUUGGACAACUGUUUUUUGUGACGCUAGGUGCACAAAACUGCCGAAAAUUCUCUGGCUUCACUUGAUAGGAAAAAAAAUAAGGAAAAAAAAAGACAAAAAAUUAAUAUAUAAAAGCUCUAAUAUUAAUUGUUACAAAUAAAAAUAGAUUGACUCUAUAUAAGUGUUUGAAUAAAUCGGUAUUGUAAUUUUUAAGGAAGAAAACUAUGUUGUCCCACGCAUGUUUUGGCAAAACUGAGCUUCUGGACGUGGGAUUGCCAUCUAUUUUUCUUCCUCCUCCUCUUUCUCAUGAAAUAGAUAUCGGUACCAAAUUUUUUGAAAAUCCCACCAAAGAAAAAUCAUUUCACUAGCGUUUCUUUUUGCAAUUUCUUUUUCAAGAAUAGAAUAAAAGAGUCUUGUGCAUUUCGGUCCCGAGUGGAUGAAUCCCAUUUUCCCUUCUCCGACUCAGGAGAUGCCACCGAGAUAGAUACAUCGCAAGAAAAAGCCCCAUUAACAUUGAUAAUAAUUGCACCGGAAAAAGACUUAUUACCGACACCUUUUUGUCCUUAAGAUCUCACUUUAUAGAUGCAACUUGCAAUUGCAUAUUCGUACUUCUAUAGUUCUUUUUCUAGAUGUUCAAAUAAUAAUAAUAAUAAUAAUAAUAAUAGAAAGAAAUCUUUUGAUUUUUAAUAAUGUCGGGUUUAAGUUUUAUUAUGGUGAUAAGCAAGUUAAUUAAUAGUGUGUUCAAUCUUACCAUUCCAUUUUUUAUCAUGUUAAGAUCAUAUAUGACUCUAAUUGGUUCGUGAAUGAAAAAUCCAAAUUCAAACAUAAGUUACCACUUCAUUAUUCCUCAGAAGUUCAAUAAAAAUUUCAAGAAAUCACACUAAACUCUAUAAUUGAACAUAAGAGUAGGAAAUAAAAAUUAUCAUUCAUUUGAGUCUAGAGAACACAAGUUUUUCCAUGAAAAUAAGACCGAUAGUAUGCAUAAAACUAUGGGUUUUAUCUCAUAAACAUUGUCAACGUGCAAGUAAUCUUGCUUAAAGAUAAAAACUGUGUAUGUAUUAUAUAUUACUUAAACUUUUUCUCAUGGGUGCUAGUGAUUAUGUGUAAUCUCAGGUUACAUUGUAUCUCUAAUUGAUUAAGUCUACGGAUAGAUGUAUCAACUUAAGAUAAUAAUGUUAAAUUAUAACUGCAUAGGAGAAACCAUGGAUUUAUGUAGCCUCAUAUCACUCGUGACUUUGUCUUUCCUUGUAAUGUAAAGUAUAUGAAGCACACACUUAUUUCUCUAUGUUAACUAGGAUUAUUAAUCUAACUAUAUAUAUAUGUAUAUAUAACCAUAGUUAUAAUCAAUCAAAGAUGUCGGACAAAAAGAGACUACCCAUAACCUCAGACCCCGAGAUAGAAUCGAUGCACAAAUUAAAGGCUGGAAAACUUUUCCGCCCUUCAAAGUUAGUGCAAUGAUAAUAUAAUAAAAAAAAUAAAUUGAAAUGACAGUGAUGAAAGACAAUGUGAAGCGAACAACAUGACGAAAAAAAAAAGGGUAAGCCGUAUAAAGGACGCGCCCCUAGCUUUUCCGUAAGAAGAGAAUCGUCAUCGUGCAAGAACUUACUUUAUCUCUAUUCGCAGCAUGAAAAUCGUUGUCAAAAAUGAUCAUGCGAUAUAUGGCAAAAUCUAGGACAUUCUCAUUCUCCUUCAACUAUCGACCCCUUUUUUCCCCUAGCCAAGCCGAGCCAAUCCAAAUCCUUUAACCCCCCUCGAACCCAGUAUAAAUAAGCUCCCAAUCAUCAACGAGAACUCAUCAAAACUCAUCCAUCAUCUCUCACAAGCUCAAGCAUUUGCUCUCUCUCUCUCUCUCUCUCUCUCUCUCUCUCUCCCCCCCCCCCCCCCCCCCCCCCCUUUUUUUUUUCUUUCAUUUUGAAACCUCGCAUUUCGAAUUCUCCUUCACAUUUCGCCUUCUGUUGUCGAGAUAGUGAGGACUAUCAAUCUCGAGUCGUUCGGUGCAUUUGAGCAUCACUUAGCUUGUGCCUUUUCCCCAAUGGAUAGAAUCAACAGAAUGGUGCUGGAGAGGCCG